AACGAACGCUGGCGGCAUGCCUAACACAUGCAAGUCGAACGAGACCUUCGGGUCUAGUGGCGCACGGGUGCGUAACGCGUGGGAACCUGCCCUUAGGUUCGGAAUAACUCCCCGAAAGGGGUUCUAAUACCGGAUAAUGUCUUCGGACCAAAGAUUUAUCGCCUUUGGAUGGGCCCGCGUUGGAUUAGCUAGUUGGUAGGGUAAAAGCCUACCAAGGCGACGAUCCAUAGCUGGUCUGAGAGGAUGAUCAGCCACACUGGGACUGAGACACGGCCCAGACUCCUACGGGAGGCAGCAGUGGGGAAUAUUGAACAAUGGGCGAAAGCCUGAUCCAGCAAUGCCGCGUGAGUGAUGAAGGCCUUAGGGUUGUAAAGCUCUUUUACCCGGGAUGAUAAUGACAGUACCGGGAGAAUAAGCUCCGGCUAACUCCGUG
rnacentral:rRNA from 1 species